UCAAAGUCUUCUGCCUUUUCAUGGCGAUAGAGGUAGUCGUGGGGCAUUGUCGUGUGUGUCAGCUGGGAGAACCAAGUCCCUUCUGGCUUGCUCGUUGCCUUCCUCUCCUGUGAGAACAGCGACCCCUAGUGGCUUGUGCUGGGAGUUGCGUGCCGACGGGGUCUCUGGUUCUGGCCCGGGCGGCUGCCGGGAGGCUCUGUGCAGCUGCUGUCCCCUCACCAUUUUUUAAACAAUUAAUACCGUAUAUUAAAUUCUUUCCUGUGAAAAAAACUGACCAUGUCAAGUAUUAGUGAAGAAGAGGACUUGUUUGGAUCAUCUGGAAUCAUGAAUAUGCUGCUGGUGGAAGUGUAAGGUGGAAACCACUUUGAGGAAUUCUUUGGAAGCUUCUACUAAAGCUAAACAUACCCUACCCAGCAAUUUUUAAAUGAGGGCAUGGCUCUACAAAAAGACAUGUGUGAAUAUUCAUAGGAGCUUUAUUCCUAAUAGCCCAGAACCAGAAAAGUCCAAACAUCCCAUUACAGAUAGAAUGAAUAAACAAAUUGUGUUGUAUUUAUAUAAUAGAAUACUGCUUAGCAAUGAAAGAACAAAUUUCUGAUACAUGCAGCAACAUAGGUGGAUGUCAAAAACAUGUUGGGUGAAAGAUACCAGACACAGUACCUAUUAUAUGAUUCCAUUUGCAUUAAACUGAAGAACAAGCAAAACUAAACUAUAAUGAUGGAAUCAGAAUAAUGAUUGGGGGUGGAGAUUGAUGGAGUACAAGAGAAGUUCCUGGGGAAAUGGAAGUAUUAUAGAUCUUGAUAUAGGUGCUGGUUACACAGCUAUUUACUCAGAUAAAAAUCAAGUUGCAAUUUAUGACUGAUAUAUUUCAUUGAAUGUAAAUUAUGUUUCAAGAAACAAAACCCAUGCACAAAAUACCUGCAGCAGUUUCUGUUUUCUGCACUGAGUUCUAGAUCCUGGGGGAGGGGCCCUAUGCCAAGAGACCGCAAGAGAGGCUGAAAGCAAGCAGGGCACCAGCAGUGUGACAGGAAGCUGGGGCCAUGGAGGGAUGUGACCAGGGAGAAGGCUCCUGUGUUGGAGAGAUCCAUGAACUUUAGAAACUCUGAAUCUAACUUUGCAGCAUGCCCUGCCCAUGCAUUCCUUAACCAUUUUUCCUCUAAACCCCAAGUAAAUGUCUGCUGCCUAGCGACUUAUUUCAGUAGUUCUCAGGAAAGAAGGGCAGGAUGGCAGCCGCUGAGUGGAGGAUGACCAGCAACACAGGCUGAUCAGGAGACCAUGCUGACCACAGUGGCUAGACAGCCCUGGAGGAGCUGGCUGCAGCAGGGACUGACCCACUGGACAAUGUAGACUAAGCCCCCUCCUGAGACCCCUUAGAGCCUUGGAAAAUUCCCUGAAAGGACUCAGACAUGAGAACAUGUCCCUUUUUGGCACCCUCUGGCAUUCUCUUUGGGCCUAACUGCUCUCUGGGGCAAGAUGUGAGCUGGUGGUUGCUGAGGUAUCAUAUGUGAGCCACUGUCCUUCUUGGAGCAGUGGCCUGGGGGCUUGGGCCACCUGCCUGGGGGUGAGGUUUACUGCGGAUGGGGGCUCCAAGGCCCUCACUGGGGGAUGGGGAGCAGCCUGGUGUAUAGGCCACUCUCUGGACUCACCCUUCUCCUAAUAAAUGGACAAUGAUCAAUGAA